UGUCUGGCAUUAAGAAAUUGAAGCCAGAAAUCUGUACUAAGUCCAGUUUAAUAUGGAGCCAAAAAAGGAAAGGCCGCUGACUUCACGAGCAGACUGCAGUUGGGGGCGUACAUUAAACUACAUGGCUUGGGGAAUUUGCUGUCUAAGCUUCGAAAGCAAUGUUUUGAUGGCGCUGCUACUUGACGUUGGUAACUUUGCUGCGGGUGCAAGCGCAAUUGUAAUAAGCCUAUUCAACAUAGCUACUACAUUAUAGAGCUCCUACUAUCAUUAGCUGUAUGUAUUAGUAUAUUCAGCACUACGUCAAGUGGAAUUGGGAAAAGAGAUUAAAUUGAAGAUUUACAUUUGAAUUUACCUAGAGCAACAUCAAGGACUCAAUUACCAACCGAUGCAAACGUACAUGAGCUUAAAAUCACAUUGGAAGUCGUG